CAGCAGUCGCCGCGGGAAUACGUAGGUGGCAAGCGUUGUCCGGAAUUAUUGGGCGUAAAGGGCUCGCAGGCGGUUUCUUAAGUCUGAUGUGAAAGCCCCCGGCUCAACCGGGGAGGGUCAUUGGAAACUGGGAAACUUAAGUGCAGAAGAGGAGAGUGGAAUUCCACGUGUAGCGGUGAAAUGCGUAGAGAUGUGGAGGAGCACCAGUGGCGAAGGCGACUCUCUGGUCUGUAACUGACGCUGAGGAGCGAAAGCGUGGGGAGCGAACAGGAUUAGAUACCCCUGUAGUCCCUGUCUCUUAUAC
rnacentral:rRNA from 1 species